rnacentral:lncRNA from 1 species
UGGGGUAGAAGGUGUAGUUGUAACCUCAUUCACCCUACUUUGGGUAAUCCUUUGUAUAAUUGUAGUUUGUGCCUCGGCCCAAAUUAAUGAUUAUGUUUCUGCCAGCUUGAGAGUAGUUCUAGGAUAAACAUCUAUGUUGUUAAAUUUUUUGUUAUUCCUCUCUUCCGAAAAAUACCAUAAGAUCCAUGUAAAUUGAUGAUCCUCUAUCUCCGGAGUAACUCUCCAAAACAUAUGGUCCAUAUUUGUGAAGAGUGACUAUGUUGAAAAAAUAUCUGGAUUCAAUGGGAUCCGUGAUAGUGCCCAAACUUGGAUCGCCGAUGAACAUUCAAAAAAACAUAUGGUUCACUGAUUCCUUUGGCUCUCCACAACGAGCACAACAUUUAUCGCCUUGAAUAGGGAUGUCAACUCAUCAGUUAUAUAUUCGUUUCAUCGACAAACCUCCAUUGGUAAUUUUAAGAAUUCGCCAUGCGGUAGAUAUGCAUUUUAUAGAUAAUUAUUGAUUAGGCAGACGUCUUGCCCGAUCUUUUUCUAGACAUUAUAUAGAUAAUUUUUGAUUAGACGGACGCUUGCCCAUCUUUUUAAGCCAUUCUGAUAACUUGUUUCUUCUAGACCUGAUAUGCCGGUUAUGUUGAUUUUUAAAUCACUGGUUCCAUUAACAUUUUUUUAAAUGGCUUUCAUAUUGAAAUAAAAAAAAUAUGAAAUAAAAAAAAAAGAGAAACAAAGGUUACAAAGAGAAACAAAGAAAGAAGAAGUAAAGGAAAAAAAUACAACUGAAAACUAAGGAAAAAAAAAAGACAACACAAACCAAAAUGAUCCAACCCGAGAUGGGAAUAACAGUGGCUCACAAGUAAGAAACAAGUAAAAUAUGUACGACAUACAACCGACAGCUUAAAAUGGUUCGACUACACAGACAAGUAGCGUUAGCAAACUCCGGAUCUAAUAUCCUAUUCACUAACCAAUUGCUGUUAAUCCAGAGAGGAGCCGGAGCAUCCUAACUGCUUCUAAGCAAGUAAUACCACUGACAGUUAACCGCAGAGAAAAUAAGGAGCAACAAACCAGUACGCACUCAUCAACAAUGCCAAAAAUACGGGAUGAAAAGGAGGCCGCAAGAUGAAGGAAACCACGGGACCUGCACUGAAAGGAAAAGGACCAAGUUGUAAAUACUGGUUCCAUUAACAUUAAUGUUGUAAAUACUGAAUUUCUUCUCAAAUAAAAAACAAAAUCAGUACUGAUCACAUAAUUCAAGUUAUCGAUCAGAAAGUUCCUAAAUUUACUUUGAGUUUCUUUGGAUAUAUUACCAGAAUGUUUGACGAACAGAUCAGUAAUAGAUGUUCCCUUAAAUCACAUAAGGCAUUCUUAAGUGCUAUUUUUUAAAUAGCAAAGAUCUUCUUUUUUUUUAAAAGAAAAUGUUUUGUUAACCUGUAAAACUCUGUUGCUCAAACCGUUUUCUAUAUUAUGUUAAUCGUCCUUUUGAGAUCUUAUGUUUUGUUGAAUACCUAGUUCACAGAACAAUUUAGUUCGAUAAGAUAGUUUUUAUAAAAAUUAAUAAAAGAUUUUGAAAAAUAUUCUUUGCAAUAUUUAUUGUGAUUCAAACAAUAAGUAGAAAGCACAUUUAUUCAAUUUAAAUUGUAAAACUGGAAUGUAUAGACAAUACACUUAAGAAAAUAGAUGCAUACGCAAAUUGGAAAUUAACAUUUUCUUAAAAUCUCUAUAAUAUUAUUUGAAAAAUUAGUUUUCUAUGUGUUGUUGCAUUCACGUUAAUUCUUACGACGGUUGAUUAUGAUAUACCCUUAAUAAAGUAAAAACAUUAUAACUAAUUACGAUUAUUAAAAAAAAUUAUUCUUCUUAAUUUAAUUUUCUUUUGAUUUAUAAUGUUUUUAAAUAAUAUACAUAAUAAAAGGAAACAUUAAUUUAUGAAAUAUAAAAUUUAAAACGAAAAUGUAUAAUAGAUAAUUUGAGUUCUAAAAAAAGAAAGUUCACAAUAAAAGUUUUACUAAAGGAAAAAAAUUUAAAUUUUAAAAACCAAAAUAUAUCACAUAUAAUAAUAUAUUUGACAAGUCAGUUUUCUACAUGUUGCGCUCAUCUUAAUACUUAGGACGGAUAAUUACAGAGAUACCUUUAAUAACUUAAAAAUAUUAUAUCUAAUUUCUAAUAAACUUUUAUUUAUAAUUUAAUUUUCCUUUUAUUUUUAUAUUUCGAAAUAAUAUAGCUAAUAAAAGCAAACAUUAAUUAAUUUAUAUUUUUAAAAAUAAAAUGUAUCAUAGAUAAUUUGAUUUCAUAAAAAAUAAAGUUCACAAUAAAAAUUUACUAGAGAAACAAAAUUUAAAUUUAAACAGGAAAAUAUACCAAAUACAUAAUUUUGAUUACAUAAAAAAAAGUUCACAAAAAAUAAUAUUAAUAUUACAUAUAUAUUUCUUUUAAAACAUAAUCUUAAAUAACAUAAUAUAUAUAUAUAUAUAUAUAUAUAUAUAUAUUUUUUUUUUAAAGUAAUAACAAUAUUUUCUUUAUGUCAAGCUUUAUUCUCAGAUGAUCAAAACUAACUUAGAUAACAUAACAUAAACUGAAAUUUAUUUAAUGAACUAAAAUAAUUUUAAAACACAUAUGUAUUAAAUUUUUGGUUUAUAUGACAAAAGUUAUGAAUAUGUUGAUUAAACUUUGGUAUAAAUAUAAUAUAACUUUGUAAUCCUUUUGUUUGUGUGUCUUGUUCAACAUUAUUAUACAAUUUUUAAUAUGUAAUAUACGUUGUUAUCCAUUAUUAAUCAAUUAGAACAUCUAAUUUUUGUAGAAUUUGAUAUAAAAAAAAAUUAACUGAUGAAAUAUUAAAAAUUGAAUCUAAAUGUUUAUAGUUUGCAUAUAUAUUUUGGCAUUAUUAGAUUUAUCUAAGAUAUUAUAAAAAUGUUAAGAGAAAUUUUGACAAAUCAACUAUUAUUGUUGAAAAGGACAAUAAGAAAUUGUCAAAUCAACUAUACGGAAGUGGUUUAAUGGUGAAUAGACUUUGAGAAGAUAAAUGAUCUGGAUUCGAAUCAAUUUCACCUCAUAAAUUUGAAUAAAUUUAGGUGGGUUUAUUCUUGUGGACUACAUCUCCUAUUACAAAACUAAUGUGAGUUUUUUUCAUAUAUCUAAGAUAUCUCGUAAGUUAUUCCAUUUUUUCGUCGAAUGCUCAUAUUUAGCAGAUUCAAACUCGGUUAGGACAGCUUUAGAAGAUCUAUCUCUCUCUCUCUCUCAUAAUUGUCCUUGUUGAGAGAAAAAAAAGUUAAGCGAUCUCCGAGCAUAGUUCUCGGCCGACGAUGGUGGGCUCCUUUAGCCACGUCCUCGGUCGGGUUUCUUCCUUUUUAUUUCAGUUCUGUUUAUCUUGUUUAGUUUCCGGUCCGUCAUGUGGUAUCGUUGGUUCUUCGGUACUGUAUGUUUGGUUUUUCUGUUCCAGUAUCGCACCGAUCGUUUGGUGGAUGACUGGCUUUGUUUCUGGGGCCGUGCCGUUUCUUCUUCGGUGGUGGUUGCCGGCUAUCGAAUCCUCGGAAGUGAUCGAGCUGUAUGACGUUUUUCGUUUUAGUGAUUGGGUGGUCUGGGUUUGGAUGAGAUCUUGAGUUUAUUUGAUUGAUGCUAUCCAAAACUUAGGCGUAUGUGUGGAAAGAUGCUGAAUCCGUAAAACUUCCAACACAGUCGUUGGAUGUGGUUUUCGGUGGUUGUGGUCGUGUUCCCGGUUGAUUCCGGAGUUAAAGUGAUCUGUUUGUUCCGAUAACGACUUUUAAGUCGGUGAAAUCGAUGGUGGCUCGCGUUUCCGGUGUGAUUCCGGUGGUUUCCGGUGGUUUUUGGUUCAGUUGCAGCGACGAUUCGCAGGUGGAAGAAGACGGUGAUAUUGUCUUUGCACGUGUCCCUUUUUUCUCCUGAGUUGAACACGUUGUUUUGCGUCAUCUGUUUGUUAGUGGAUAUGGGCCUGUGUUUGGUUUUCUAGUGUUGUAGUUGGGUCUUGUUGGUAGGCCAGGAUCCUUUUUCUUUUUGGAUUUUUGUUUGUAAAAAACCUUUGUUAUUAUAUAAAAUAUCAGAUUUCAGAGAAAAAAAAAUGCAGAUUCAAACUCGGUUCAGUUCAGCGGUGGCACAUGCAUUUGUGUGUUUUUUUUUACUAAUGCAUGUGUGCGGUUGUUUCCUUUUCCUUUUUUGGACAACCACGUGGUGUAGUUUUAUAUAAUAAUUUCUCAUUGAUUCUCUAUAGUUGCCUAAAUCUAUUGAACUUUGUUGGAGGUUUACAUUUUCACUUAGCCGAUACAUCAUUUAAAAUUUUCUCAUAAAUUAAUUUGAUAACCCAUUUUUCUAAGUCAUUCAAUUUUUAUAAAACUCAUUUGACUUUGAAAACUGUUCCAGCAAUCAACUCUCUAUUACAACAAAAAAUUAAGCAACAACUCCAACUUAUAAUUUUCAUUCUUCAGCUGAGAUGACUAUCUUGUCUUCACGUCUUAUUAUCAAGGGUUUGUAGUUGUUUCUAGCAGUCUUAUAUCUGUUAUCGUUUUGUUUUUUUUUGCAUAUAGGAAAAACAAUUGUAACCAAAUCCCUAGAUUAUGGUAUCCAUGAAUGUGUGUGAACUUUAACCAAAGAAACAAACGACAGCAAGUUGUAGAAGUUAUCAUGACAAUUAACUAACAUUGUCAAACGGCCAAAGCGUCGAGAGUCGAGACUUUAAAAACUAAUUUUUAUUGUUCGGUUAAAAUGUGAUCUAUUUCCGUUACAAAAAAACUGUGUUCUAUUUAUACAAUUAAAUGUAAUAAAUUAAUAGUUAUAUGAGAUUUUACAAUUUUGUAAUAUUUAUAUUGUAUUUGAAGUGAAUUUAAAUUAUAAAUAAGCAUAAAAUUGAAAUAAAAUAUGAGUUCAAGUCUCUAAUUAUUAAUUACCCAGCUAAAUUAAGCUUUUGUUUUCAUAUUUUUUUAUUUUUAUGGGGUCAAACUAUAAAAUUUGGUGGUGUCAUAAUAUUUUUUUAUGAAAGAAAAACUUAUAUUUUAUAAAUUAGGUGCGGUCGGCUGACCCCCUCCAUCCUCUAUACGUAUCAGACUUGAAUUGAAACAAAAUUACUAAAUACUCUUCAAAAACACCAUGAGGGUUUUUCUUGACAAAAUGACUUGUAUUUUUCUCAUUACAACUCACGUGCAAGUUGACUAUUAAAGAUACUUUUAAAAAUAAAUUAAUUAACAUCCGUAAUUAACUGACUAUCUCUUCUAAUGAAUAGACUAGAAAUAGAAUUUUAUUUCUGUCUGUCUCUUCCUAUGUAUGGGUUAUAUAUAUAGACUUUUCUCUUUUCUUCAAUGUUGCCACAUUUCAGAUUUCUAGUAAUUGGUUUUCAGAAAUGGCGGAGGGAACGUUCAAGGUAUUGCUGUGGGGUUUAGCAGCAAUGGUGUUUGCAAUGGCCGAAGGGGCUCGUGGACAGCGCGUGCCUUGCUAUUUCGUUUUCGGAGACUCAGUUUUCGACAACGGUAACAACAAUGACUUGAACACCUCCGCUAAAGUUAACCAUUCACCUUAUGGUAUGGAUUUAGCUAGAGGUCCCACGGGCCGAUUCAGCAAUGGCCGUAAUAUUCCCGACUUUAUCGGUUAGUCCCUGGCUUGUUUUAUUUCUUUGCCCAAAUGUUUUCGAUGAAAUUACUAAUAGAUACUAUUAACUAGAAAAGACAAACGUAUCAUAACGUAUUCUUUGCCUAACUGGAAGUUUAGAAUGUAGGCAUUUCUCUUUUAGCUGAUAUUUUCAAUGGAACAUAAAAAGAAAUGCAAACAUUAGAACUAGACAGUGUUAUGCAGAACAGUCAUAGAUGCAAAUUAAGAGACUAUGUAAGUAGAUAAAUAAAGUUUUGCUUAUCACACAUCCACAUAGGUGGUUUAAAGUUUCUCAAAAUAUAUAAAUAAAUAAAAGAGAAGUAAAAGGAUGAGAAAGGUAAGAAAAUCUCUCCGUUGAGAGACUAUAUCACACAAAACGAUCUCUUCGUGAGAGACUAUAUAUAACACUUCUGGAAAAAAAAAACAUUUGCUUAGUUUUUAGACAUUCAUUGUUUAAAAAUCUAAAAACAUCAAUUUUUGUUUUGUUUUGAAACUCUGCUGAGUCUCUGGCGAUAAAUAUCAUUGAUUAAUAGCAACUCCAAUAUUGGAGAUACUUACUUGAGGAUCUGAAUAAAUAUCAUUACUUUUGAAUAUGUUUAGUUUUAAUUUUAGACAAAAAUAAUGAUUUAAAAAGAUGACAAGUGUCCCUAUAGUUUCUUAAGAUCAUCUCCACCCACUGUUAUAUUUAUCUUUAUAAUAAUAUUUAGGGAUAAAAUUAUUCUAAAUCAUCUUUAUUUCUUAAAAAUAAAAAAAAUUACUCUUUUUUCUAUUUUUUUUUUGACGUCUACUCUUUCAUCUUUAUUAUAAAGUUUUUUUUUUAUUUUAGAGAAAAAAUAGCAAAAUACAUUAAAGAUAGUUUAAAAUAUUCUUGUGACCUCUCAAAUGACAGAGGGGGUCUCAAAAUGUCUUACCUCUCAUACUUUUUGAGUUUAUAUUGUUUUAUUGUUUACAUAUCUUAUCUAAUUACUGACGAUGAGCAUGGCCUAAUGAUGCCCUAAUGUAUUUAAGAAUCAAUUUCCCAAAAGGAAAAAACAAAUUUUGUGAAUGGUUUCUUGUGAAUCUGUUACUUUUUUUAAAGGUUAUUGUGUUUAUCAUUCAUAAGUAUUGUAUAUGGUUUCUUGUCUAAUAUGAGUUUGAAUUAUGUUGUGUUUAGCUGAACUAAUGAGAUUCAGUGAUUACAUUCCACCUUUCACCGGAGCAUCGCCGGAACAAGCUCACACCGGUUUAAAUUACGCUUCUGGCGGCGCGGGAAUUCUCGAAGAUACUAGCUACCAUCUGGUAAGAACAUAAUUUAGAAGCAAAAGAGAUCAAAAUAAAGAUAUCUUUAUUUUUCCUCGGGUAUUUCAUUUUUACCAAUACUACUAUAUCUACAUAUAUGGUUAAGUAACUUUCCUAAACGUACUACUAAAUUUAGUAAUACUGAUUCAAAAGACGCGCAGUGAUCAUAUGUUCUCAUUUGGUGGCUCUAAUGUCUGGCUGAUACGAAACUAAUUAGUAAAUUGAGAUUUUGUAUCUGAAAGUUUGAGGUUUCAAACCUAACUUAGAAAAAGACAAUUUAAAAUGUUGUGAUUCCCUGUCCAAUGAAUAUACACAAAUAAUUUUGUAAAUGUUUUAGGUGACUAUAAAUAAUUUUUUUUUUAAAGCAAAUAAUCAUUUGGUUUUGUUGAUUUGCUUUCUCUUUUCUCUUUUUUCUGGCAGGGAUCCUAAAUAUGACUCGCUUAUUUGUAUUUUUUGUGUUUAAACACUUAAAUUAAUUACUUACGCAUUAUGAUAUUUCUUACGAUAGGGUGAUAGAAUCAGUUUUAAAACGCAAAUCAAGAACCACCGGACGGCGAUUAUGACUGCAAACGUGCCCCCGGAGAAGCUGAAGCAAUGUCUAUACACUAUUAAUAUAGGAAGCAAUGAUUAUCUUAACAACUACUUCAUGCAAGGUGAUAAGUACAAUACACAACGCAAGUACACUUACGAUCAAUUUGCUGAUUCCCUCAUUCGACAUUAUCGCUCUUUACUGAAGGUAAUAUUGCCCAAGGUUUUGAAAAGAAAAUUAAUAAAGGAAUUAUAAACCUUCAUAUUUCAUUGAAAUAACUUUUGACAUUAUAAAUAGUUGAUUAAUUUCCAUAUAAAACAUGAUGCAGAGUAUUGGAUAUAUCUCUACAAAUUUUACUCCUAGUUAAUUAUCUAUAAACCGAUUAAUUAGAGACAUUUGUUUUUGUAUAAGUUGUUGUAUGUCCAAGGAGCAAGGAAGGUUGCUUUGUUUGGGGUCAGUAGGAUAGGGUGCACCCCGCGGAUGAUCGCCUCCCAUGCUGGUGGUAUGGGCUGUGCCGCUGAAGUGAACAAAGCAGUUGAACCUUUCAACAUGAACCUUAAAGCUCUGGUCAGAGAGUUCAACACUAACUUCGCCGAUGCUAAGUUCACUUUUGUCGAUAUGUACACCGGGCAAACUCCUUUUGCGUAUGCUGCCUUAGGUAAGUAAUACUAAAUAUAUUGAACUGAAAGUUUUGACCCAAGAUGAAAUCAUUUUACCGGAUUAAAAACAUAUAGUAUAAUACUAAUUAAAAUACACUGUUUUCAUUAAGGUGUUCUAAGGAAUACCAGAGUUAAGUUUCCCAAAAUACACAAGGAAAUUUUUUGGAAAGGUUUAUGAUCAACUCCUUCCUAAUGGCUUUACUAAUCCAGUUGUAUGAUCAGCUAUUAAGCUUUUUGAAGAUGAUUCCUAGAUAAAUAAAAAACUUCAUUAACUUUUCAUAAUCGUGUUCCUGGAAUACUUGAUAUCUUAAAAUCAAAUAUUUUCCUUCGUUUUCAUUUUCUUCUGAAAUAUAAAUUUAAAUCUUCAUUUUGUCACAACUCUAAGAGAUUUGAUCAGUUAGAUCAUUUAUUUUCCAUAGUAGUACAAUUGCAGUAAAAUCACGAUAAAACUUAUAAUAUUGGAUUGUGAUCCUAUAAUUUGAUCAUGCGUAUACUUUUAACAAAAAAUGUAAAAAUAAUUAUGCGUAUUUUUACAUUCUUGUAGGGUUUGCUGUAACACAAAAGAGUUGUUGUACGGUAGAAUCAGGGGAAGAACUAUGUGCGGCGGAUAAACCGAUUUGUGCGUUUCGAGACCGGUACGUGUACUGGGACAAUGUCCACAGCACUGAGAGGGCCAACAUGUUUGUGGCAAAGGCUGCUUUUGCCGGAAUCGUUGCUUUUCCUUACAGCAUUGCCUUGCUUGGAAUAGUAUAGGGAUAAUAAUAUACUCGAAACCAUUCAUUUUCUUUUGUUGGAUAUUUAUAUAUAUGAUCUUUGUUUUUAAUUUAAUUGUUUUAUUGAACAAGGAAACUUUGUUUCAUUUCAACAGGUGAUUUUUUUGUGCACCAAAUUCUUAUAUUAAAAAUUGACCGUCCAAUAGGCUUAUAAGGUUACAAGUAUAGGUAACCUCGACGACUAAACGAUAAAAAUAAACUACAACAACAAUAACGGAUAGAGGUGUUAAAGGGCCGAAGAUACCCAUAGAAAUGCUUUACUUAAAACUGAUGUUCCCAGUACUGAUAUUGGGAUAAUGAGCGGGUCUGAAGACGGUUGGUAUCUCAUUUGCUUCAGUGAUUAGAUUCUCUCCGGUGAUCAAAUGUUAGUUUAUCAACAAAAAAUAUAUGUCCGUCACUCAAAUGUUGGAAAAUGAUCCGCAGUUUAGUAAAGAAAAAUCAAAUGAUCUUAUUCCUCAGGUUGUAGAAUGAUAAGGCCCUUCAAACUAAUUUAGCAAAAUGAAACUAGCUAUAAUGUGCCAACGGUAUUAUAACUUGUAAUCAUUUUUCUGCUAUUCUGUUCAAACUAUAUCCACGAGUUGAGGCCUAUAUAUGCUCAAUAAAUAAUACUAUUAGCAAGGCUUGAAAAGCUAUCAUGUUCACAAAUUAUAAUUGGUCUAAUUGAAUUUUAGCAAUAUAUUUUUUGUCUCAAUUUUAGCUAUCGCACAAACAUACGUUCCAUAAUUAAAUCUUCUGAUGGAUUGCUACAAUGAUAGUCUUAAACAGCUAUAUAUGGAUUUGACAAAUAACCCGUUCUUAGUCAAAUGCAUUAAGAUCAUUCCAACUGUUUUUUUUUUUUUUUUUAAGAAAGGUUUUCUAACAUUCCAACUGUUGAUAUAGACAAACUCAUCUCUAAAUUCAAUAUAUACCACAUACUUAGUAAGCAAAAAUAUAAAGUUUAACUAUAUAUGUGUAAAUGUGUUAUUACAAAUGAAGAAUCACACCAACAGUAGUAGAAUCCCUACUUGAAUCCUUAUUCAAAUGGAAAUGAAAUGCAUAUAUAUAUAUAUAUAUAUAUAUAUGAAUACUUGUGUGUAUAUAUAGAACCCUAGAUAUCUUCAUAUAAGUGUUUCUUGAAGGCCUCCAUGUGAGCUACCUGUAGACACGUGGCGAGAAUCAGCGAGCCGUCAUCAUUUUUAUCAGGUAGUAGCAGAGAGCCCCCGUCGCCGUCAUGCGUGCAUGGUCCCAUGUGGACCUCCUUUCCCCACCCGAAAUCAAGGCCGUACAUUGGUAGAGUUAACCAGCUCACAAGUCCAAGAUUAGGGUUUCCGUAGAAUGGACCGUCCGUGCUGCCCAACGCAUGUAUAUCUUGAAACGUCUUCAGAUCCUCAUGGUUUUUUAGAUACUCUAUUCCAGUCAUUACGUAUUCGUUUGUCACACUCUUUAUGGCUUCACUAAUUUUUUCGGCCGCGAAACCCAACCCAUUCGAUAUGAGUUCACCUAUAUAAGAAAAUUUAUCGAAAUAUAGAAAUCGCAUUGUAUGAUAUCCCUAAAUACCUAUUAGUGUGAAAUUAGUUAGCUACAUUAAACUCCCAGAAUCGGGGGGAAAUAAGACUGGUCUGACUAAACGUGCAUGAUAAGCUACCAAGAGUUCUUUCAUCUAUAUUUGAAUUCCUAUUGUAAAUGUUCAAGAAGUAUAUUCUUUCUAAUGCUAGCUUACAUAUCCGAUUGAAAAUAUUUUUAACUGACUGCGAUUAGAUUGAUUGAGAUGGUGAUGUAUUAUUGUUUAGGCCAACUCCAAUAAUACUAAAAAACCAAAUUAGUGUAAUUUUUUUAAUUGUAAACUAAAAGGAUUAAACCCGGGUCUAUUAAAGACAUAAAUCUAAUCUCCGGGUGGAGGUACAAUCCACAGAUAGACUCUCUCCUGGAUAUUCAAAUGAUCCGAAAGCAAUAGUCCAUAUCUGUGUGGCCAACGGGGUUUCGCUAUAUUGGGUUUAUUUCUCUCAAGCGAAUUAGUGCAAUUUUACUCUCACGAAAUUAUAUAGAUAAAGUCGUAUCACUAAAUUUGAUAUUUUGUGAAUAGUAUUACACCAAACUUGGUGAACAAUAUUCAUUGCACCAAACAAUUAAAUAAUAUAUUUUAUUUUUAUUUAAUAAGAAAUUAAAUUAAUGUUAUUAAUUAGUUUAAAAUAUUAAAAGUAAUAUAUUUGUAUUUUCAUAUAUUUUCUCAACACUGAAUCUUAAAUUAUAUUUUUAUUUAAUAAUAUUGGUAAAUUACUACAUUAAAUAGUUAAAUUUUGUAACAAAAAUAACUAUAAUAUAUUGUUUUGUAUUUUCCUUUUCAAUAAUAUGAUAUAAAUAUCAAAGUAUUUAAAUAAUUAAAAUUUAUUUCUAGAACAAAUCUCAGCAAAAACAAAAACAAAAACAAAAUAGCAGCAGAAAAAUUAGAUUAAACAACUUUUAAAAUUUGUCAAAACGUACCUGAGGUGCUUCUUGCGACCGCAUUAAUAGUGGCAUUGCCAAAGUAGCCGCGUGGUAAAGGUGGCUGCACCCGACUACGAGUAUCUACACAGAUUCCCAGAGACGUGGGUUGUUCUGGGGAGUGCCCACGUGCUUUAGACGCGCACCUCCACACAUGUCCCGCGACCGUCUCGUACCUUGUAAACCCUCUAGCUGGGUCAGCGUAUUCACUUGUAUUCACUCUGCUUCUAAGCUUCUCAAUCAAAGUUUUGCUAAGUUUUAGUAUCUCUACAGUUGUUUUCUUCUUUCUUUCUUCUACAUUGUCCGUUUCUCCGAUCAGCAACGGUGGCUGUUCAAACCCUUUGCGUUCGCACUGAGGUGGGGAGGCAAACGGCGGAAGCGGUUUACCAGUCCAGAGGAUUUUGCGGUCGAGAAAUGGAGUGGUUUCAAGAGGUUCCCCGCGAGCGAUUCUUCCCCAUUCAGACAAGAAGUGAAACGCGCUCUGUCCAUCGACCACCGCGUGUGAAAUGCUGACGCCGAGGCUUAUUCCGCCGCAUUUAAAUCUGGUGACCUGAGCUAAGAAGAGAGGGAUCGUUUCAAUAGGGUGUUUGUAGUUUACUUGCGGAACAAGUUUCUCAAAUUCUGGCGUUGGAGAGAAAUCGUUGAAAUCUGAAAGUUUUGCCUCGGACUCGGCUUCCAUGAAUGACACUCCCUCCGCGUUACAAUCAAGCUCUAACCGCCCCCGAGGGAGCCACUUAAGACGGCCGGCCAUAGGGUAGAAGUGAAAAAGCGCACGGCUCAACGAGUUUCUUAGGGUUUCGACUACAUUGCCCUGGAACAAUUCAGAUGGCUUGUUAUAGAAGUAAACGGUAGGAACGUGAGUUAUUGUACCAACUAGAUCCCAUUCGGCUAAUGGAAAACAACCGGCCCAUGUAGGUUCAGAGGGUACGAUGGUAUAAAUAUUUCUUAGGAUGAUAGGAGCCAUAUCAUAAACCAGUUUUCUUUUUGAGUUUCGUCGACGUAAAGUAGUAUUUAUAUAAUAUAUUGAAUCGUAUGAGUUUAUCAUUAUUUUAUAGCACUUUUUAAAAAUGUAUUUCUCGUGAUUUAGUUUGUUUCCUUGUAGACGGCUUAUCUUGUGGAAGUGAUAAUAAGGUUUACUUGUUGGUAUGUGUGCUCAUGCUUAUUGUCCUUUUCUUAAUUUAACUCACUCAAUCGAUUAAUAUUCCAAUAUAUUUUUAAAAGACCUGUCUACAUAAACCGAAUAUAUUACAUUUACAAUGAAGAAUCUAAUAUUUCUUAGUUAUUCAUAUGGCUGAUGUAACAUACGAUUACGCAUUUACAAUCUUAUUGGAAAGAAUGGCUGAUGUAACAAACAUGUCUGACCAUGAGUCGAACCAGAAUGACCUGGUCACCACAUAGAAGUGAAGAUGGGAAUCGUAUAUCAUUCUGGUUCGACUCAUAGUCACAUUUGGGGCGCGUCUCCUUAAUAGGACCUAAAAAUUGUAUCCACAUGGGAAUAAGGACAAAGCAUCGGCUCACUGAUCUGUUUAAUACAAUAGAGAGAAUGCGUUGAGGCACAAUGAGCAAAGAGAACUGUGGGUAAUGUAAACUUAAAUCGAAGUCAAAUUAAACUUCAGGUGGAUCUAUUGGUAUAUGAUAGUUUCGAAGGGGAAAUAAGUCGUUUUCUCAAAAGGUUUUGCUUUCUGAAACCAAACCAGCGUUUUAGUUUAAUUGAUCUACUCUUCGUCAUAACCUAAUAUCAAAACAGCGUCAAUGAAGGACGAAUUUGGAUCCACUGAGAACAUGAGAGCAUAUGCAAUGGUGGACUCUUUCUUGGAGUUCUUACCAUUAUUUUAGUUUUUUUUUUUGUUUGAAUAGUUAAUGAUUCUAGUAAAAAUGGUGUGUUCAAUAGUGAUCUCUGAUUAGGAAUCCUUACAUAGAUAUAUAUAUUUCCCUCUAUCCAAUGAGACGCGGCCACGUCACUAAGGACUUAAUCCUUAAACUCCUUGUCUAAAGGAUUGCUCCUUACCGAAUUGGACUUUGAUAAUAUUACUAGGGUCGGCCCGCCCUACGGGCGGGAUGAGAAUUAAAAAAAUAAUUAAAAUAGUUAGACUAUAUAUAUUAUAUAAAUUGUUAUUAUAUAAGAAAUAGGGUCAGUCAUGUGUUCUAUGUAAUUAUAUAAUUGUAUACUUUCGUUGUAUUUUGUUCGUUUUUGCAAAAGCAGUGUAUUUUUUUGACAUUAUGGUCUUAAAUGGUUUUAGGGUUUGUAGGGAUUAUGUUUGAGGUGUAUGUGGACUUUCUUAUUGUAUUUUUUUUAUAGUUAGUAGUCCAUAAUUUGUUGGUGAAUUGUGUGUUUCUAUAAUUUGGACUCUUAUGUGUGUGGGCGUGUAUAUUAUGUCACUCAGCUCAACACCUACAAACUUAUUUGAAGUAUCUUAGGUUCCAAGUAAAGUGUGCAUUACGGUUUUUGAGAAGAUUGUUCAUUGCUGUUUUAAAGGAGAUAAAGUUAUAACUAUUAAUUUGAAGCAUAAGGACAACACAUGUAAGCGAGGAGAAUUUAUUCAUUGAAAUGAGAAUGUAACAUUUGGUGUGAAAGUAUAAAAAUAGAAAACCGAUUUUGAAAACUAUGCUAAACGGAAUGUAGUACUUAUAGUUCUUAUGGGUCCGAAAUUAAGAAAACAAUGAAGAACAUUUAUGAUUAAUUUAUGGUUAGUUUAAUAAAAAACUUAUUAUAUAUUUAUAUGGACCAACAUAUUUUUCUAAGGAUUCUAAGAAUGAUUGUGGUGAUGACAUGUGGCUACAAAAAUAUGUUGUAAUGCUUCUCUUUUAAUAUAUAGGGGAUAACUGUUCUUUUGAAUAUUGUUUUUUUUUAAUUGUAUUUUUUGAUUAAAUUAUUGUAUUAUAAUUUUUAUGUAAAUAUUUUUUGUGAUGUUUGAAUUUGUGAUAUUCGUAUACUUAACCUAGAUGAUAUUGAUGUUUAACAAUUUAUUGUUUUCUGGAAAUAGAAAAUAAUGAUAUAUCAAAACGUAUCUUAUGUAAAUUACAUCCAUUAUUUGAAAAUAACAAUUUAUUGUUUUUAUUUUUUUAAAAUCAGAAAUUAUAUUUAUUUUAAAAAUUAUUCAUAUAUAAUAUAAUAGUUAAAGUUUGGAACAUUAAUAUAUAUAUAAAUUAUGUAUAUUUUAAAAAAAAAAAUUUAAGAUAUUAUAUAUUGAGUAACUGAAUAAAAACUGAAUUUCUUAUCUUGAAAAUCAAAUAUUUAUAUUUUGUCUUCAUGUUAUACACACCAAUCCAUCAUUGAUAUUUAUAACUCAGUAUGUUUUUAAAAAAAAAACUUAGUUUUAAGAAAUAAAUGAAUUUAGUAAAUUAAAUUCAUCACCUAUAAUGUUCUGUAAACUAUAUUUGAAAACUCUCUAAAAUUAUAUUUUAAGCAUAACAUUACUAUUAUUUAAUUUAAGUUAUUUUAAGCAUAAUAUAUGCUAAACCAAUUUAAAUUAUAUUUACAAUAGGACUAUCCUAAACCGGUUAAUAAACCAAAAACAAUACUAAACCAACAUGAACCAAUACCUGAUUCGGUGAGGAAGGAAGUGUUUCGGGAUAAACGCUUUAAUGGUUAUUAACUGUAAUAGUUUGAUCAUGAAAGAGUUACUAUGAAUAUUAACAAUAAAAUUAUGGAUUAGAUUAAUUAAAUUUGUAAGAAUACCUUUGAGUCUAUGAAAAGCAAUUCAAUUCCCAUAAAUAAGUUUGGCUUUUGAAAGUUGCGGGUUUCCCAACAAUGAAUCCACCUAACAAAAAGUUUGUUGUUAUAAAAAAUCUCAUUCAAGGUCAUUAAAGGUUUUUGGGACGGCAAAAGUUGAUGGUGGAACCAUUUUUUUGCUCGAGUGCUUUGAAGUUUUCCUUGAUAGGGUGAGGUUGAUGGAAUAAUGAGUUUUAUAAAGAUUUUCUUGAUGUAAAACUAUAAAUUUUUGUUUUUUUUUGUUUAAUGUGGUAUUUCAAUUUUUAUAUAAUUUACUACCAUUUUAAGAGAUAUGUACAUUUUAAGAUAGAUGUUUAAAUCUUAAUGUAUUUUUUCCAUUUUUUAAAAUGUUUAUUUCCAUUUCUUAUAUUUUUAUUUACGUAAUAUCUAUAUUUUAUAUUUAAAAAUAUAUAUUUAAAUCUUAAUGUACUUUUUCCAUUUUUUUUAAAUUGUGUAUUUACUUAUAUUAUAUAUUUUACAUUUUAAGAUAGAUGUUUAAUGCUUAAUGAACUUUUUCCAUUUUUAAAAAAAAAUGGUGUAUUUACUUAUUAUUAUAUAUAUAAUUCAUAUAUUAUAUAUUUACAUAACGGGUGUGUUUCAAAAAAAAAAAAAAAAAAAAAAAAAAAAAGAAACUACAACAACAAUAAUACGGAUAGAGGUGUUAAAGGGCUGAAGAUACCCAUAGAAAUGCUUUAGUUGAAACUGAUGUUCCCAGUACUGAUAUUGGGAUAUGAGCCGACAAAAGAGGACUCUAAUGAACGGGUUCGAAGACGGUUGGUAUCUCCUUUGCUUCAAUGAUUAGAUUCUCUCCGUUGAUCAAAUAUUAGUUUAUCAACAAAAAAUAUAUGUCCGUCACUCAAAUGUUGGAAAAUGAUCCGCAGUUUAGUAACGAAAAAUCAAAUGAUCUAUUCCUCAGGUUGUAGAAUGAUAAGGCCCUUCAAACUAAUUUAGCAAAAUGAAACUAACUAUAAUGUGCCAACGGUAUUAUAAUUUGUAAUCAUUUUUCUGCUAUUCUGUUCAAACUAUAUCCACGAGUUGAAGCCUAUAUAUGCUCAAUAAAUAAUACUAUUAGCAAGGCUUGAAAAGGUAUCAUUUUGGCAAAUUAUAAUUGGUCUAAUUGAAUUUUAGCAAUAUAUUUUUUGUCUGAGUUUAAGCUAUCGCACAAACAUACUUUCCGUCAUUAAAUCUUCUGAUGGAUUGCUACAAUGAUAGUCUUAAACAGCUAUAUAUGGAUUUGACAAAUAACCCGUUCUUAGUCAAAUGCAUUAAGAUCAUUCCAACUGUUGAUAUAGACAAACUCAUCUUUAAAUUCAAUAUAUACCACAUAGUAAGCAAAAAUAUAAAGUUUAAAUAUAUAUGUGUAAAUUUGUUAUUACAAAUCAAGAAUCACACCAACAGUAGUAGAAUCCCUACUUGAAUCCUUAUUCAAAUGGAAAUGAAAAUGCAUAUAUAUAUGAAUACUUGUGUGUAUAUAUAGAACCCUAGAUAUCUUCAUAUAAGUGUUUCUUGAAGGCCUCCAUGUGAGCUACCUGUAGACACGUGGCGAGAAUCAGCGAGCCGUCAUCAUUUUUAUCAGGUAGUAGCAGAGAGCCCCCGUCGCCGUCAUGCGUGCAUGGUCCCAUGUGGACCUCCUUUCCCCACCCGAAAUCAAGGCCGUACAUUGGUAGAGUUAACCAGCUCACAAGUCCAAGAUUAGGGUUUCCGUAGAAUGGACCGUCCGUGCUGCCCAACGCAUGUAUAUCUUGAAACGUCUUCAGAUCCUCAUGGUUUUUUAGAUACUCUAUUCCAGUCAUUACGUAUUCGUUUGUCACACUCUUUAUGGCUUCACUAAUUUUUUCGGCCGCGAAACCCAACCCAUUCGAUAUGAGUUCACCUAUAUAAGAAAAUUUAUCGAAAUAUAGAAAUCGCAUUGUAUGAUAUCCCUAAAUACCUAUUAGUGUGAAAUUAGUUAGCUACAUUAAACUCCCAGAAUCGGGGGGAAAUAAGACUGGUCUGACUAAACGUGCAUGAUAAGCUACCAAGAGUUCUUUCAUCUAUAUUUGAAUUCCUAUUGUAAAUGUUCAAGAAGUAUAUUCUUUCUAAUGCUAGCUUACAUAUCCGAUUGAAAAUAUUUUUAACUGACUGCGAUUAGAUUGAUUGAGAUGGUGAUGUAUUAUUGUUUAGGCCAACUCCAAUAAUACUAAAAAACCAAAUUAGUGUAAUUUUUUUAAUUGUAAACUAAAAGGAUUAAACCCGGGUCUAUUAAAGACAUAAAUCUAAUCUCCGGGUGGAGGUACAAUCCACAGAUAGACUCUCUCCUGGAUAUUCAAAUGAUCCGAAAGCAAUAGUCCAUAUCUGUGUGGCCAACGGGGUUUCGCUAUAUUGGGUUUAUUUCUCUCAAGCGAAUUAGUGCAAUUUUACUCUCACGAAAUUAUAUAGAUAAAGUCGUAUCACUAAAUUUGAUAUUUUGUGAAUAGUAUUACACCAAACUUGGUGAACAAUAUUCAUUGCACCAAACAAUUAAAUAAUAUAUUUUAUUUUUAUUUAAUAAGAAAUUAAAUUAAUGUUAUUAAUUAGUUUAAAAUAUUAAAAGUAAUAUAUUUGUAUUUUCAUAUAUUUUCUCAACACUGAAUCUUAAAUUAUAUUUUUAUUUAAUAAUAUUGGUAAAUUACUACAUUAAAUAGUUAAAUUUUGUAACAAAAAUAACUAUAAUAUAUUGUUUUGUAUUUUCCUUUUCAAUAAUAUGAUAUAAAUAUCAAAGUAUUUAAAUAAUUAAAAUUUAUUUCUAGAACAAAUCUCAGCAAAAACAAAAACAAAAACAAAAUAGCAGCAGAAAAAAUAGAUUAAACAACUUUUAAAAUUUGACAAAACGUACCUGAGGUGCUUCUUGCGACCGCAUUAAUAGUGGCAUUGCCAAAGUAGCCGCGUGGUAGAGGUGGCUGCACCCGACUACGAGUAUCUACACAGAUUCCCAAAGACGUGGGUUGUUCUGGGGAGUGCCCACGUGCUUUAGACGCGCACCUCCACACAUGUCCCGCGACCGUCUCGUACCUUGUAAACCCUCUAGCUGGGUCAGCGUAUUCACUUGUAUUCACUCUGCUUCUAAGCUUCUCAAUCAAAGUUUUGCUAAGUUUUAGUAUCUCUACAGUUGUUUUCUUCUUUCUUUCUUCUACAUUGUCCGUUUCUCCGAUCAGCAACGGUGGCUGUUCAAACCCUUUGCGUUCGCACUGAGGUGGGGAGGCAAACGGCGGAAGCGGUUUACCAGUCCAGAGGAUUUUGCGGUCGAGAAAUGGAGUGGUUUCAAGAGGUUCCCCGCGAGCGAUUCUUCCCCAUUCAGACAAGAAGUGAAACGCGCUCUGUCCAUCGACCACCGCGUGUGAAAUGCUGACGCCGAGGCUUAUUCCGCCGCAUUUAAAUCUGGUGACCUGAGCUAAGAAGAGAGGGAUCGUUUCAAUAGGGUGUUUGUAGUUUACUUGCGGAACAAGUUUCUCAAAUUCUGGCGUUGGAGAGAAAUCGUUGAAAUCUGAAAGUUUUGCCUCGGACUCGGCUUCCAUGAAUGACACUCCCUCCGCGUUACAAUCAAGCUCUAACCGCCCCCGAGGGAGCCACUUAAGACGGCCGGCCAUAGGGUAGAAGUGAAAAAGCGCACGGCUCAACGAGUUUCUUAGGGUUUCGACUACAUUGCCCUGGAACAAUUCAGAUGGCUUGUUAUAGAAGUAAACGGUAGGAACGUGAGUUAUUGUACCAACUAGAUCCCAUUCGGCUAAUGGAAAACAACCGGCCCAUGUAGGUUCAGAGGGUACGAUGGUAUAAAUAUUUCUUAGGAUGAUAGGAGCCAUAUCAUAAACCAGUUUUCUUUUUGAGUUUCGUCGACGUAAAGUAGUAUUUAUAUAAUAUAU